GUCACCCAGGACAAGCAGCCUGGGUGUUUCCAGCCAUGGAAACUAUGUAUAUGAUACAACAAUUUGAAUGGAUCCUUUUAUUCUUGCCACUUGCUUAUGUCACAAUUGUGGCCUUUCCUUUCAAGGCUAUCCACUGGAAUUGCCAUCUAUGAGUAACCUGAGUACGAUAAAGCAGACAUGAAGCUUUUGCAUGGUCCUGCUGUGGAGGUUGCCAAUGGAAUGGGGGGAAACCGUGAGUUAACCCACCAGGUAAGGCUAUGUAUAUGAUUCCAUAAUAUAAAAGGAUUGUUUUAAUUUUACCACUAGCUUGUGUCCCAACUUUUGCCUUUCCUUUCAGGGCUAUGCAUUGGAAUUGCCAUCUAUGAGUAACCUGAGUGUGGAAAAGAAGACUAAUACUUUUGCAUGGUGGGGCUUUGUUGGAUUCCUAUCUAUUGGGAAUACACCAUGAGUUAAACCACCAGGUAAGGUUUUGCAUAUAUUUCUGUAAUGUGAAGGGAUCCUCCAACUAUUGCCACUUACUUGUGUCACAACUGUUGCCUUUCCUUUCAGGGCUAUGCACUGAGUGAAAAAGAAGUCGUAAGGCUUUUCCAUGGUCUUACUUGGGAGGAUGCCAAUGGAGUGGCGUGACAUCGUGAGUUACCCCUCCAGGUAAGACUAUGUAUAUGAUCCCACAAUAUAAAGGGAUCAAUUUCAGGGCUAUAUACUGGAAUUGCCAUCUAUGACCAACCUGAGUGUGGAAAAGAAGACAUCAGGUUUUUGCCUGGUCCUGCUUGGGAGGAUGCCAAUGGAAUUGGGGAACACCAUGAGUCCCCCCCCCCAAGUAAGACUAUGUAUAUGAUACCACAAUUUGAAUCGAUCCUUUUAUUCUUGCUACUUGCUUAUGUCACAACUGUUGCCAUUCUAUUCAGGGCAUUAUCCUGGAAUUGCCAUCUAUGAGUAACCUGAGUGCGAAAAAGAAGAUGUAAGCUUUUCUAUGGUCUCACUUGAGAGGAUUACAAUGGAAUGGGGGAACAUCAUGAGUUACACCACCGGGGGCAUACACUGGAAUUACCAUCUACGACUAACCUGAGUGCGAAAAACAAGACAUAAGGCUUUUGCAUGGUCCUGCUAUGGAGGUUGAAUGGGCAUAGACCAUGAGUUUCCCCACCAGGGCUAUAUACUGGAUUUGCCAUCUAUGAGUAACCUGUGAGCGAGAAAGAAGACCUAAAGCUUUUGCAUGGUUAUUCUAUGGAGGUUGCCAAUGGAAUUGGGAGAAACCAUGACUUAGCCCUCCAG